rnacentral:rRNA from 1 species
UACGGGGCGCAGCAGGCGCGAAAACUUUACAAUGCGGGAAACCGUGAUAAGGGGACACCGAGUGCCAGCAUCAUAUGCUGGCUGUCCGGAUGUGUAAAAUACAUCCGUUAGCAAGGGCCGGGCAAGACCGGUGCCAGCCGCCGCGGUAACACCGGCGGCCCGAGUGGUGAUCGUGAUUAUUGGGUCUAAAGGGUCCGUAGCCGGUUUGGUCAGUCCUCCGGGAAAUCUGAUAGCUCAACUAUUAGGCUUUCGGGGGAUACUGCCAGACUUGGAACCGGGAGAGGUAAGAGGUACUACAGGGGUAGGAGUGAAAUCUUGUAAUCCCUGUGGGACCACCUGUGGCGAAAGCGUCUUACCAGAACGGGUUCGACGGUGAGGGACGAAAGCUGGGGGCACGAACCGGAUUAGAUACCCGGGUAGUCCCAGCCGUAAACGAUGCUCGCUAGGUGUCAGGCAUGGCGCGACCGUGUCUGGUGCCGCAGGGAAGCCGUGAAGCGAGCCACCUGGGAAGUACGGCCGCAAGGCUGAAACUUAAAGGAAUUGGCGGGGGAGCACCACAACGGGUGGAGCUUGCGGUUUAAUUGGAUUCAACGCCGGAAAUCUUA